rnacentral:rRNA from 1 species
AUGGCCGGCCAUGGCGGGCCGUUCGCGCUCGUCGCGCUGUGCGUGCUCAAGCUCGCGCUGCGAGGCGCCGGCGCCAGCGACGGCCCCUCAUCCGCACCCGCACCUGCCCCCGGCCCCGCCCCGGAGCGGCUCGUGCCGGCCAUCUUCGUGUUCGGGGACUCGACGGUGGACGUCGGCAACAACAACAAGCUGCCGGACUGCACGCCCGCAUGCAGGGCCAACUACCCGAAGUACGGCGUCGACUACCCCUCCCACGAGCCCACCGGCCGCUUCAGCAAUGGCUACAACCUUGCUGACCAGCUAGCUCAGUUUCUUGGAUUCGACGAGAGCCCACCUGCUUUCCAAUCCCUCCCGGAGAAGGGCAUCGCUCGACAGAUGAAAAACGGCAUCAACUUCGCAUCGGGGGGUUCAGGCCUACAGAAUAAAACCGGCCAAAAACUUUGUGGGCAACUGCUCUGCAUGGCCGACCAAGUCGAGAAGUUCACGUCGGCCGUGGAGAAGAUGGGGAAGGGCUCGGGCGACCUGCUCUCCAGAUCCCUCUUCUUCAUCAGCGUCGGCAGCAACGAUCUGUUCGAGUACACCGACCCCGACAGCCCGCCCUCUAACCGCAACGACACCGCCUUCUUGGAAAGCCUGGUCGCAUACUACAGGGGCUACCUGGAGGACUUGCACGCCGCCGGGGCGAGGAAGUUCAGCAUCAUCAGCCCGGCGCUGGUGGGGUGCUGCCCGUCGCAGAGGGCGAUCGCCAAGAAACACGAUGACAUCGACGAGUUCGGCUGCUUCGGGGCGGCGAACAACCUCUCCAGGCAGCUGUACCCCAUGCUAGCCUCGAUGCUCCAGGACCUCAGCCGAGAUCGGGCCGGCAUGAACUACUCCGUCUGCGACUCGGCGACGAUGGCCGAAAUGAUCUUCAAACCCGGCGGCGGAGCUGGCUUCGACCUGACGGUGCUAGACACGGCGUGCUGCGGCGGCGCGGGCAAGUGCAACUCCUCCGCCAAGCUCUGCCACAACCGCGACAACUAUAUGUUCUGGGACAGCUACCAUCCGACGAAAGCCGCGUCGGGUCUGGCCGCGAUGGCGCUCUUCAGCGACCCCGGCAUGUACGUCCACCCCAUCAACGUGGAGGCGCUGGCGGAGUUGUAG